CCUACGGGAGGCAGCAGUGAGGAAUAUUGGUCAAUGGGCGCGAGCCUGAACCAGCCAAGUAGCGUGAAGGAUGACUGCCCUACGGGUUGUAAACUUCUUUUAUAAAGGAAUAAAGUGAGGCACGUGCGCCUUUUUGUAUGUACUUUAUGAAUAAGGAUCGGCUGGGUCGGGGGCAGCAGCCGGGGUAAUACGGAGGGGCCGGGCGGUAUCCGGAUGUGUGGGGGGUAAAGGGUGGGAAGGGGGGUGGGUAAGGCAGUUGUGGAAGUUUGCGGCUCAACCGUAAAAUUGCAAUUGAUACUGGCAGUCUUGAGUACAGUUGAGGUAGGCGGAAUUCGUGGUGUAGCGGUGAAAUGCUUAGAUAUCACGAAGAACUCCGAUUGCGAAGGCAGCUUACUAAACUGCCACUGACAUUGAUGCUCGAAAGUGUGGGUAUCAAACAGGAUUAGAUACCCCAGUAGUC
rnacentral:rRNA from 1 species